rfam:Triticum aestivum genome assembly, contig: Triticum_aestivum_CS42_TGACv1_scaffold_592389_7BS
AAUCUAUUCCCUCCGUCCCAAAAUUCUUGUCUUACAUUUGUUUAAAUACGGAUGUAUCUAGUUACAUUUUAGUGUUAGAUACAUCCAUAUAUAGACAAAUCUAAGACAAGAAUUUUGGGACGGAGGGAGUACCAC